rnacentral:rRNA from 1 species
ACAGCAGCAGCCGCGGGAAUACGUAGGGUGCAAGCGUUAAUCGGAAUUACUGGGCGUAAAGGGAGCGCAGGCGGUUUAGUAAGUCUGGAGUUAAAGGCAUUGGCUCAACCAAUGUAUGCUUUGGAAACUGUUUGACUUGAGUGCAGAAGGGGAGAGUGGAAUUCCAUGUGUAGCGGAGAAAUGCGUAGAUAUAUGGAGGAACACCGGUGGCGAAAGCGGCUCUCUGGUCUGUCACUGACGCUGAGGCUCGAAAGCGUGGGUAGCGAACAGGAUUAGAUACCCCAGUAGUCCCUGUCUCUUAUACC